UCUAUUGGGUCAGAAGUUGCCCAAUUUCUUAAUAGUGUUCACCUGUGUGUGAUUUAAUCUCAGUAGUAGUUAUCUAACUUUUAGGGGAGUGAGCUGAAGCAGGAAGCCGUUGUUACGAUUUGUCCCCCUUUAAAGCAAAGACAUGCACGGAGCACAGAAGAGAUGUAGAAGAAGGAGCUCUGCUCAGACGGGACCGAGAUCUGAACACCCUCCUGUAAUGAAGAGCAGCUGACCGUUUCCAUCAACAAGCCUGUCCAAGUCUUCAUCGUCUCUGAGAUCAUUUUCUGGGUCGUUCCAACAACCAUCGAUGUACAGAGUCUGAAAAAGGGAUUUUCUGCAGGAGAUCAGAGUCUGUCGUUCCACCAAUUACAGCAAAGCAACCCCCAGCCAUGAUACAACCACCACCGUGUUGGUAUGUUACACUUUUGUCUCAUCGAUCCACACAACACCAUCCCAGAAGCCUUGAUGAUCCUUUGGGUUUGUUUUGGGUUCUUUCUGUCUCUCUAAUAUUGUGAAUUAUGAACACAAACCCUGAGACAAAUGAGGCUGUGGAGGUUUAGACGUCGUUCUGGAUCCUCAUGUCUGCACGAGUCUUUACUUUUGGAGUAAAUUUUGAGACCUGCUUCAUGUUGACAGUCGGGUUCGUUUCAAAUCAUUUCUUAUUUAUCAAGCCUAAUUGGUUAAGCUUGAUUGAAAUAAUUUUUUCUCACAAUGUGGAAUCUGGAUUAACUUGUUUUAUCGUACGGCAUCCGCUUGGAUGCCCAAAACUAUAAUAACAUCACAUCCACCUGUCUAUGAAAUUAGUGGAUAUUGAAUUUAAAAUCUUUAAACACACUUCACU